AGGCAAUCUCAAUCUUUGCACUGACGUUGGCUUUUUACGCAUACUGUACCCAUGCUACACCAUGCUUCAAGACAAAAUUUCAUUUAUUUGUAAUUAGAAAUAAAUAUUUCACAAUAUAUAAUUACAUAUCUUUUUUGUGAUUAAUCACUAUGCUUUAAUUAUGUUCAAUUUGUAACAAUGAAAAUAAAUCCUGCAUAUCAGAUAUUUAUAUUACGAUUCAUAACAACAGCAAAAUUAGUUAUGAAGUAGCAAUGAAAAUCAUUUAUGGUUGGGGUCACCACAACAUGAGGAACUGUAUUAAAGGGUCGCACCAUUAGGAAGGUUGAGAACCACUGAUCUAAUAUAAAUGGAAUUAUUUAAUUAUUUUGUUUUAUUUUAUAAAGAAAAUACUUCAUUCUAUAGCCAUUCC
rnacentral:lncRNA from 1 species